rnacentral:rRNA from 1 species
CGCGUAGGCGGUUAUAUAAGUCGGAUGUGAAAGCCCUGGGCUCAACCUGGGAACUGCAUUCGAUACUGUAUAACUAGAGUUUGGUAGAGGGAAGUGGAAUUCCACAUGUAGCGGUGAAAUGCGUAGAUAUGUGGAGGAACACCAGUGGCGAAGGCGACUUCCUGGACCAAAACUGACGCUGAGGUGCGAAAGCGUGGGUAGCAAACAGGAUUAGAUACCCUGGUAGUCC